rnacentral:rRNA from 1 species
UACGGAGGAGGCAAGCCAUAUCCGGAAUUAUUGGGCGUAAAGGGUGCGUAGGUGGUCAGACAAGUCCCAUGUCAAAGCGUGGUGCUUAACGCCAUACAGGCGUGGGAAACUGUGUGACUAGAGUACAGCAGGGGCAGGAAGAAUUCCCGGUGUAGCGGUGAAAUGCGUAGAUAUCGGGAAGAACACCAGUGGCGCAAGCGUUCUGCUGGGCUGUAACUGACACUGAGGCACGAAAGCUAGGGGAGCGAAUGGG